rnacentral:rRNA from 1 species
UUAAAUUGAGAGUUUGAUCCUGGCUCAGGAUGAACGCUGGCGGCGUGCUUAACACAUGCAAGUCGAGCGAUGAAGUUUCCUUCGGGAAACGGAUUAGCGGCGGACGGGUGAGUAACACGUGGGUAACCUGCCUCAUAGAGUGGAAUAGCCUUCCGAAAGGGAGAUUAAUACCGCAUAAUGUUGAAAGAUGGCAUCAUCAUUCAACCAAAGGAGCAAUCCGCUAUGAGAUGGACCCGCGGCGCAUUAGCUAGUUGGUGGGGUAACGGCCUACCAAGGCGACGAUGCGUAGCCGACCUGAGAGGGUGAUCGGCCACAUUGGGACUGAGACACGGCCCAGACUCCUACGGGAGGCAGCAGUGGGGAAUAUUGCACAAUGGGGGAAACCCUGAUGCAGCAACGCCGCGUGAGUGAUGAAGGUUUUCGGAUCGUAAAG